AUGGAACUCGCCCGCCGAGCCGCUCAUCGGGCCGACGCCGGCGACAUCUACGGCAUUCCCACCCCUUCCCCUGAUGCGCAGACGACGAUACAAGAGCUCCGCCGGGAACUCUUGCACGAGGAAAUCCGCCAGCGAAUCAUUGUGGCCGAACUAGCCAAGCAGCAGGAGCUGGAGCCUGAAUUCCGGCGCCAACUCUUGUACAGUAAUGCUGGUGCCAGGUUCCGGCAGAUCACAAUUCCCCGCCAUGGCACAUCCCCUUUGCCGCAUAAUGAGCCACUGGACGUGCCCGUGUCACUUGCGAGACAGCCCGUUAAAGAUCGGAUUGAGGAAUGGUAUCGACCUCCAUGGUGCAGGCCAGCGAGCGAGGAUGAACCAGUCGUCAGGGCAAAGCGGCACAAACAGGCACUUUCUGGGGUGAAGAGGAAACGGAGUGCAGAAGCUCCAUCAUGGAUUUGCAGCGUCUGCGACGCGAAUUGCUACAAUGAAACAGAUUUACAGAAUCACUUAAGAGGCAGAAGGCACCAAAGGAACAUAGAAGCUCUGCAGGGAGAAGGCAAGGGAGCUGAAGCGAGGCUGCAUGAAAGGGAAGUGCCCCAGCCUGCGGACAAGAACCUGAAACCAGUGUCAACAUGGUUGUGCAGCAUCUGCGAUGCGAACUGCACAUCUCAAUCUGACCUUGAAAAUCACCUCGGAGGCAGAAGGCACCAAAAGAACAUAGAAGCUUUUCAGGGAGAAGGCAAGGGAAGUGAACCAAGGCUGCAUGAAAAGAAAAUGCCCCAGCUUGCGGAAAAUAACCAGAAACCAGUGUCAAGAUGGAUGUGCAGCAUCUGCAGUGCUAAAUGCAAAUCUCAAUCUGACCUCUCGAGUCACCUCCGAAGCAGAAGGCACCAAGAGAACAUAGAAGCUUUUCAGGGAGAAGGCAAGGGAAGUGAAGCAAGGCUGCAUGAAAAGAAAAUGCCCCAGCUUGCGGACAAUAACCAGACACCAGUGUCAAGAUGGAUGUGCAGCAUCUGCAGUGCUAACUGCAAAUCUCAAUCUGACCUCUCGAGUCACCUCCGAAGCAGAAGGCACCAAGAGAACAUAGAAGCUCUGCAGGGAGAUGGCAAGGGAACUGAAGCGUCAAGAUGGAUGUGCGAUAUCUUCAAUGCUAAGUGCACGUCUCAAUCUGAUUUCGAGAGUCACCUCCGAGGCAGAAGGCACCAAUCAAACUUGCAAGCCUGA
rnacentral:rRNA from 1 species